rnacentral:rRNA from 1 species
UCUUGCGCAUGGGCGAAAGCCUGNGCAGCAACGCCGCGUGAGGGACGAAGGCUUUCUGAGUUGUAAACCUCUUUCAGCAGGAACGAUAGUGACGGUACCUGCAGAAGAAGCACCGGCCAACUACGUGCCAGCAGCCGCGGUGAUACGUAGGGUGCAAGCGUUGUCCGGAUUUAUUGGGCGUAAAGAGCUCGUAGGCGGUUUGAUAAGUCGGAUGUGAAACCCCCAGGCUUAACCUGGGGCCGCCAUUCGAUACUGUCAUGGCUAGAGUCCGGUAGGGGACCAUGGAAUUCCUGGUGUAGCGGUGAAAUGCGCAGAUAUCAGGAGGAACACCAGUGGCGAAGGCGGUGGUCUGGGCCGGAACUGACGCUGAGGAGCGAAAGCGUGGGGAGCGAACAGGAUUAGAUACCCUGGUAGUCCACGCCGUAAACGUUGGGCACUAGGUGUGGGGCCUAUUCAACGGGUUCCGUGCCGCAGCUAACGCAUUAAGUGCCCCGCCUGGGGAGUACGGCCGCAAGGCUAAAACUCAAAAGAAUUGACGGA